rnacentral:lncRNA from 1 species
AAAUCAAAGCAAGCGUAAUAAAAUGAGGUAAUUUAAAGUGACAGGGGACGAGGCAUACGUUCGGCAGCUCAUCUCCAAAGCCACAGAUUAAAUCUGCUUUGAUUAUCUUUACGCCGGGAGACGAGUCAUAAAGAUUGGUCUGUCACCAAUCAGAAUGCGAGCGGAGUUCGCUAGUCAAAUUAAGCGAGUGCCUCCUGCCAACUCUCUUUACUAAACUCAGCGUGUCGCCAGAUAAUUACUCACCAGGAACAUGCUAAAUGAAUCGAACAAUUAAUGAUAACAGUGGGUAAUAAUUAGAAUGUCUCUAGUCGAAUGAUGAAGGCUUAAGAAGCAAAGGGAAUUACAUUGGUGUUUUCAUUUCUAAUAACUUUCAACGUGUCACAGCGACGGUGGGCGAGCAGAACAAAAAGAAGACGAGGAAGCUGCAUUUAAAGAGGAAGCACAGAGUGGACCCUCUGAAGACAGAUGAAGGGCCCACGGAAAGCCCCACGCCCCCGCCUCCUCCAGCAAGCGGAGUGUAACCGAGAAACGUCAGAGUGUGGGACAGAGCAGCCAGUGGAGGUGGACGGACGACAUGAACCAGAGACUGAUAAUGGUUACAAAGACACUUUAAGGAAAAUGAACUUGCAUUAUGUCUAUGCCUGACAUAAGAAUGUUCGACAAGUCUGUUGUGGGCUGAACUUUUCUAUACCAGUGUUUUUAGAUGGUGUCUGUACUCGGCCAUUGCUUUAUUUUUAUCACACCAUAUAACCUUGUUUACAUACCACUACAAAUAAAAUAAAAAGAUGUUUAUCAUUAUCCAGUUUUCCACCAAACUACAUUUGCCGUGGUACAAAAGCAGCAGGUUCAGGCCUCAUGUGGAUAGAGCUGUAGUCAUCUCGAGUGUUUUUCACACACCACUGCUUCAAAUAUAAUCAUUUUUAGGUCCCGUUUUUACGUUAAUGGUGUGAAAUGAGGAUGAGUCACAGCUGAGUCACUCACAAGCGCCGGUUAGGGAAAUUGUUCUCAGAGGCUAAAUUGCUGUAAGAUUGGUAUAAUUUGCUUCACUGUGCUGUACAUAAAAAGGGUUACACUACAUAAUCUUGUAUUUUUAAGCUUUUUAUUUUAUUUUUUUAUAGUCAACAAAAGCUUCAUUGUUUUUUUCCUCGGCACACUGUUACUGACUUUCCAAAUUGUACCAGCAUGUUGUGUACAAACAGAACUCGUCCACAGGGCUAUUUUUACAUGUAGAACUGUUUACGUUUUUCACUCCCCUGACUCGCAGCCACAGGUGGGCCCUUAGGUCUUGCGUUACUGUUCCUGUUUUUGGACUUGUCAGCCGCGCGCCGGGAGGAUAUCAGAAAAUAGCUCCAAUACCCUAAAAAACAACAUGAGAUCUUGGAACAGCCCGGUGUCCCAGUUUCCCUUUGGACAGCCUGUGCAGAAAGGGGAGGGAGGAGUGUCAAUACUCCCCCAAUUUGGAAUGUCAAACUUUGGAAAACUCAAAGUUGAUCAGAGUACCUCACUGACUUAUGUUAAAGAUUAAUGUCAUCUUUGGAAACUAACCAUCAUAUUUGUUAUGAAUGUAGAUGUUUCAGAUAUUUUUUUAUGCAGCUUUGACUUUUAUAACGGCACAAUAAAAGACUGAAUCACAACAAAACCCCUUUAUUAUUAUUAUUUAUGCAUUUGCAUCCAUGCAUUUUUUAUAUUACCUCAUGUGUAUUCCCUAUAUUUCCUCCUAGGUUUCUUUUUUAAUUAUUAUUAUUUUUAUUAUUAAUAUGGCAUUACAUUAACAUUAACAUUCCAUAAGACCGCUAUCUCCCAAAAAUACUCCAAAUGUGACAUCUUAG